rnacentral:lncRNA from 1 species
UUAUGCAGUAACCCCACGAAAAAUUAUAAAUCCUCUACUCCAUGUUGGAAAUUAAAGAAAGAAAAAAUCAUGUAUAAUUUGGAUUUGUUUUUGGUCAAAGUAAUACUCUCGAUUUUUUUAUUUUGAUCAAACAAGUAAUAAUUUGAAUUUGGUGAUGCAAUCUUGAGCUGCUGAGCUGAGAGCUGACCUGUAGAAGGUGUAAGAAGCUGCAUAAAACCCGGAUUUUCUGGCCUCGGGUGAUGGUUUGUACUUAAUUAUAUUGUAUAUAUAUUUGCAUGAAUCUCCACCGAUUAUAUAUAUAACAUUAUUUUACUAUCUAUAACAUUGGCCCGCAAGUUCUCCACUGUUGCACCAUCGAUCUGCAGAUCCUUUUGUGGAGAUUCUCCAGCGUAUUUAAGCGUCACUUUAUUUUGACAUUGCUAAUUCAACGCUUCCUCUAUCAGCUUUAAAGUAAUAGAUCUAAAUGAUCUACCUCUUACCAUGAGAAGAGAGAGAGAUGAUCUUGGUUUAAGUUAUUAAAAGUGAUAUAUGCUUCAGCGAGUAAUGUGUUUAUACAUCUGAGUGCAUAAAAAAUUAAAAUAUUUAAUUUUAAGAGCAUACGGUUAAAAAAGAACAAAAUAAUCCAUUGUGCGUAAGAAUUUAUGUAGAAAUAACGCGGUGAAAACAAUAAAAAUAAUAUAAGAUCUUCGUAUGAGUACAACCUUAUAAUACUCCUACAAAAUAUUAAUUUUGAAAUGAAAAUAAAUUAAAGGGUAAAUUACAUAAUACCCCCAUCAGGUUUAAGGUCUAUUACAACCACAUACAACAUUUUUAAAACAUUUCACUUCCAUACCUCACCUAUUAUUUUAUUUCAAUAUAGUACAUCCAUUACAUUUUCCAUCUAUUGAUCCGUUAAGAGCUGAUGUGGCUGCCACAUUUGUAUCACGUGGCUGCCACCUGUGGGCCAUGUGGCAAAAAAAUAUUUUUUUUUAAAACUUGAAUCUUUUGAAAAAAAAAAAAAAACCAAAAAUCCCCUUCUUCUUCCCCACCCGAGCCCAUCCCCUUCUCCCAUCCCCAUCACCCACCCCUACCUGAGCCCGUCCCCAUCUCCCAUCUCCCAUCCCCCAUCACCCAUCACCCAUCACCCACCCCUUCACCUUGCUGAGACGCUAGAUGUAGUGAGUGUGAAGCCGCAGGAACCCGCCGAGCACGAGGACCACAAAUCUUAGUUGUUGGCUGCCGUAGCCGGUGUUGGUGGUGGUUGGGGUUUGGGGGCAACCGCCUCAAUCUCCUCAUUCUUUUUCCAUCACAACCACCCACUCAAACUUCAAACAAAUUAGAAAAUGACCCCUGGCUAAUUUGGGGAUUAUAGGGAUUUGGGGUUUUGGUGGUGGUUGGAAACCAAUUUGCAGGAAGUGGGUUGGGUGCUGUAGCCUCAAAUUUCAUCAACACCACUACUGGUUCGUCAUUUGUGGGAUGUGGGGGAUGAAGGUGGUUGCAAUGGGAAGAUGAGAUUGUUGGCUAGGAUCGGGUGGAAGUAGUUGCUCAAAGAUUGUUGGCUAUGGUCAAAAUCCGGAUCUUGGAGUUGGAGCUGCCCACUCUCUUCACCGCCCUCCUUGUCCUCAGGUAGGUUGACACGGAAAAAAAUGAUGGUUUUGAAUUUUGGGAAAUAAAAUUUCGAAAUACAUGAAAUUUUGGGGUUUUUUUUUUUUUGGAUUGAGAGCUCAUUUUGAUUUGUGGGUUCUGGAAGAAGUGUUGAAAUUUAUGGGGGUUUGGAGGGAGAAGAGGAGGGAGAAAGAAUGGGAGGUGAAGUGGGAGGAGAUGGAGAAAAUUGGGUCGGGGGAUUUUUGGGUUUUUUUUUUUUUGUUUUUGUUUUUUUGUUUCCUUCAGAAGAUUCAAGUUUUUAAAAAUAAAAAACAUGUGACACAUAGAUGGCAGCCACGUGGUACAAAUGUGGCAAUCAUGUCAGCUCUUAACAAAUUAAUGGAUGAAAAAUGUAACAGAUGUAUUAUAUUGAAAUAAAAUAGUAGAUGAUGUAUGCAAGUGAAAUGUUUUAAAGAUGUACGAAAUUGUAAUAAACUUCAAAUCUGAGGGGAUAUUGAGUAAUUUACCCUAAAUUAAAUGUAACGAGUCGGCCAAAAGGCCCAUAUAUAAAGUAGUGCAAAUUCUUGGCAGUCUCGCCGUUCUCUUAAAAUACAUAUUAUGAAUUCAAAUCGAACACUUGGCCCUCAUUAACUUCAUAAUCCUGAAAACCUAAUUUUUUUUUUUCACUCAUGCAUAUGUCAUCUAUAAUCUGGUCCGUUGGUUGUUCUUUAUAAAGAAAAUACUAUUUUCACAAGCACGUAUCUACUGUGUGCAAUUGAAUACCAUGGGGAAUUUGAUAAAAAUAGUAAGAACAACAGUUGGAUAUUAUUUUGGGGCAACUGAAGUGAUAAGUGAAAGAGUUGAUCGAUCACUCAAGGUAAUGGGAUUCAACUAUUUGAUGUCAAAUAUCUCUACUUGGAUGCGAAAAAUCCCAAAGUUGAUGCAACAAGAAACAAAAAGUUGUGACCACGCGAAAAAGAAAGUUAAUAUUAAAGUGACACAAAGUUGGAUGAGAAAUGUUAGGGGGAUUCUUUUAAAAGUGGAAUUAUUCAUGAACUUUCCGAUGACACUUUAUAAUUUAACGUUAAUUAUUAUGUCAACAUUAUAAAAUAUUAUGUAAAAAACAUAAAAUGACGAGUUUAAGAGAGUACUUUAGCAUUUCUCAAGUUGGAUUUGCACUUAGCUUUUAGCUAGCCCUACUCUCUCUUUCCUUCUUGGCGUCUACUGCUUCAAUCUUAAUACGUGCACAAUUCUCUUCACUCCUCCUCCACAUUCAGCUAGCAUGAUGUGAAUGCCUGCCUUCCUUCACAAUCAUGCACCUCUGUUUCAUUUUUUAAUACAUAAUUAUUAUAUAUGGGAAUCAUUUGUCGUAAGCAGAUCAUCUUCUUAUGAAUCUUAUCUUGUUCCUAUUCAGAAUAUUAAUGGAACAAUAAGUUUAUGUUUUUUUUUUUUUUUUUUUUUUGAGAUACAGGCCUCUAAUGAUCAAUUUUUUUUAGUAUGUAAUCGAUUUAAUUAUGAUUUUUUCAACAACUGAGACUUGAUUUUCGAUAAUUUGCCAAGUUCCCUUUUGUUUUUUUUUUAAUUCCAAUGAUAAUUUAAUUUAACCUAAACUAUGAUAAAAGGGAUUCGAACUUAAGUUGAAGUAGAAACUACAUUGUCUUAACCAACUUGAUUACAUCCCUAUAUGCACGUCGGGAGCUAGGUUUUUUUAGUUGUCUAUAUGAUGUCGAUGAUGAACGUCCACUUGCUUAAAAUUAUGAGUGAGUAAAGGUUUUUCUGCAUGUAUAUGUGUAAAAGCACUAAAAAGGAUUCCAUGGGCUCUCCGACCUAAUUUGAGCACUUUCAGUUUCAUGUAAGCAAGAAGAACAAAGCAUUUAGGGCAUUGGUGAUGAUGGGGUCCAUCCAUGCAUCAAGCAUGUAAGUGCUCCAUUUUCACCAAAUUUUCUGGUCGGAUUUGGACCUGUUUUGGGGACCUUUUUCUUUGUCACAAUUUUUGUGUGAGAGAGUAGUUCACUCAAAUAUGAUUUGAUUGGUUGGAGUUAAAUUUACUUAGAGAACUCAAAUUCCAAGUCGUUUUUUUUUCUCUCAUCUUCUCUCUGUCUGUUCCUUGCAUCACAAGAAGUUGAAAAUUCUUUUAGAAUAUCAGUAGAGGAUGUAUCACGUUCUUGCAGGAUUGCUUAGACAAAAACGGAAAAUUUGCUUUAUGGUAAUAAAUGCUUAUAUUUAGGUUAUAGAUAGAAGGAUGAUAUUUGAGGUAAAGCAAGAGUAACCGUAAUUGACUAUAAAAUUAGAGAAAAUCGAUUAAGGUGGUUAAGGGGUAGAGGAAAAUUUGGAAAGAGACUUUAAGAAAAGAUAUGGAGAACUUAAAGCUAACUUCGCAAAACCGAGCACAACGACGUUUUAGGAUUCAUACAACUGACUCUAUAUAGUGAGAUAAAGCUUUGCUUCUGUUGUUGUGGUUGCUUAUUUAGGUUCUAGAAGCAACUAAACUAUUAGGGCUGCUUAACAUAUUUUUCUCUCGUCUAACCUCUCUAGUCUCUAGUAUCUUAAAGCGACUUCACUUUAGAUAGUGAAAGAUAUAAGAACUUUGGAUAGGAAAACUAAGACCUAUGCAAUCGCCCGGUUGUGUACGCUCGAUGAUUAGGCAGAUCUCUCCAUCACUCUUAGCCCGAAAUAAUCCGGUUGCAUUCAGAGUUUCUCCCUGCAAAUGGUCAGUCAAACUUCAUUGUCUUUCAACAGCACACCAUUUGAACUUAUUCUUUCAAAUAUUAUGGAUUGAGACAAAGAAAAGGCUAGCUGGCUUAAAACAUACUUAAAUCUUUUUUUUGAUCAAAUAAAACAUACUUGUCAACUUAUAUAUUAAGAGUAGGUAAGAGAUUCUUGGCUAACCCAAGAAUAUUUCUUCUUCUACUUAUAUCGUUAAUCAUGUAUUUUUAUUUUUAUUUGUGUGUCGCUCAUUACGUGAAUAUGUAUUUGUAUAAAGUAUAUUUUUAUCGUAAUAAGAAAUAUAAAAGAGAAAUGUUUGAUGUUCAUGUGCCAGAGUGUAGGUGGUGGUAGGCUACUAGUCUAAUUAGAGAGCAAUCAUGAGUUUCCAAAACAAAACAAUUUAUUGUUUGUGUGAUGCUAGAAAGACAAUUAUUUCAAAUUAUAUUUUGUAAACUACAUGAUGUGACGAUUGUAAAAAUAUAAUUCAACUAUUAACCAUCAUAUCAUGUGAUUUACAAAAUAUGGUCUAAAAUAUUGGUCAUCCUAUCAUUUUUAUUGUUGUUGAAAAGAUGAUAAUGAAUUAGACAAGUAGAGCUACGCUAUGCAUAACACAUAAAACUUUGGACCACAAUAAAUGACCAUCAUUAGUUAUCAACCACACGUAGGCUACUUCCUUUAUGAUCAUAUCGAUUAGAAAUGACUAAAUCUUUGAUAGAACGUCCCCAUCGUCCUAGUAUUUUCCUUAUUGUCUAAUUAGUUUGUCAAUUUACAAAAUAAAUGACCAUCAUUUUCCUCUAAUAACACCAAAACACACUAGAACACGCAGAACACACCCAUUUCACUAUAUUAUAUCUUUGUAAAAUCCCGUGGACACUAGUGAACAACAAAACAAAAAGAUUUUGCCCUUUUAGUCCUUAACUUAUUAAAUUCUUUAAAUUACACUUUUCCCCAUCAAACACCAUGAAACUGCAAAAAUGCCACUCUGGAGAGUUGCCCUGAGUUCCAGAUAAAGACCAAUGAUUCAUUGACAAGUGACGAGCUUGCAGUCUCACAGUUGAUGGGUGGCAGUUUCAUUGCUGUGUCAGACUAUAACUACAUACAUAUAUAUAUAUAUUAUAUAUGUAUGUAUGUAUGUAUGUAUACGUGUACACACACAUAUAUUAUAAAUGGGUUCGGAGAUGAGUGUGAAUUGUUAAGAAAAUUGCAGUGAGUGCAUGCUUGUUUACAGAGCACUACUUUCCCCCACUCCCAGAGUUCUCUUCUCUCUCAGACACAGCCAAGUGGAGAGGAUAACCUACUCAGAAAGAAUCCACAUCUCCAUCUCUAUGGAACAAACAACUUUUUAGCUGAAAGAGAGAACCAAACUCAAACCUACCAUUUGUUUUCACAAAAAAUAAAGAAGUUAAGACCCAUUCUCUCUCCUCUCUCUCUCUCUCUCUCUCUCUCUCUCUUCAUAUUCUAUACUGCAGCUCCAAUUCCUAGUUCCCAACCACCCUACCAUUCUCUAUAUUCUUUUUUCUGGUAUUUUGGUUUGUUUUUAUCCUUAUUUGUUUGCAUUGGUUGGUCUUAAACUAGUACUAGUACCACAAGAAAAAUAAAUAAAAAUCCAAUCUUUGCUAUUUUUUCUGUCAAAUUUCUUGUUUUUCUCGACUUGGUUGAACUGGGUUUUCUUAAUUUUCCUUGAAAAAAUGGAUUGUAUAUAGUUUCUAGACUGCCGGUCAUGGAUCUGGAGGGGGUGAGCCGCAGCCAUCCAAUCAAGGUAAUACAUGUGGCCGAGUGUUGUCAGUGUGAGUGUUUCACUACCCCAAUUCAAAUUCUCAGCUUUUCUGAUAAGUGCUUCUUGUGCUUCUGCUUAAUUGCUGCAGAAGGAUUCAUGGAAGACGCUGUUAACUCUGGCUUACCAGAGCCUGGGAGUAGUAUAUGGAGAUUUAAGCACUUCUCCUCUCUAUGUUUACAAAAGCACUUUUGCAGAAGAUAUUCACCACUCAGAAACCAAUGAGGAGAUUUUUGGGGUUCUCUCGUUUGUUUUCUGGACAUUGACGCUGAUUCCAUUAGUGAAAUAUGUGUUUAUUGUGCUUAGAGCCGACGACAAUGGCGAAGGUGGGACUUUUGCUCUGUAUUCUCUGCUUUCCCGGCACGCCAGGGUGAGCUCCUUGCCCAAUUGCCAGCUGGCAGAUGAGGAGCUAUCGGAGUACACCAAAGAUGGGGUUGUUCCGACGGCCAACAGUGCUUUCGGGUCGAGUUUGAAAUCGACAUUGGAGAAGCAUAAGGUGCUGAAAAAGGUGCUGCUUGUUCUGGCUUUGAUUGGAACUUGUAUGGUUAUUGGUGAUGGGGUGCUCACACCAGCAAUUUCUGGUACUUUUGAGGUUAUAUAUAUCAUUAUCAAUAUCAUGCUAUUGGUUUUUUUGGUUUGAAAGUUGUGGAAAUUGGGAUUUUGAGUGAUUAGAAUUUGCUUAUUUGUGGAUGCAGUUUUUUCCGCUGUUUCGGGGCUGGAGCUCUCCAUGUCGAAACAGCAGCAUCGAUGUAAGUUCUUCGCUGCUGGAGCUUUUGAUCCGAUCCUGCAAAUCAAUUACAUUGUUUUAGGCGAAUACUGAGUUAAGGAUUUUGGUUAUGUGGUUGAUGUUCUCUGCAUUCUUCAUUAUCUAGAUAGAAUAUAACUUUCCAAUUCUAACUUAGGAGCUAAUAGAAAUGUUGGAUACUGAAAUACGCACAGCGGAAACAUGACUUCAUGAUCAAUACAGAAUUAUUUAGAAAUUGAUAUUUUUGAGUAGUUAAUCACGAUUAAGACCGCUAACACGGCAAAGAGAAUUCUAAAAAUUGAAGCUGCUUAGUGAUAUCUUUGCAUCUAUUCCGAAUAUAUCUGCCUAGAGACUUUUAGCAGAUGCAUAUCAUGGUUUGGCAUCAAAAUCUUAGUUUUUUUGCACAUGCUAAUCCAAUAUCAUGGAUGUUCUAAAUUUCAGAAGCUUUCUCUUGGUUUCUAUUUGCGCAGACGCGGAGUAAGUGACGAGCAGGCAAUACCAAAAUUUGGGAUGAAUGAAAACAUUAUGGCGGUGACCCUACAAAAAAUUAAGACAAAUUAGCCUGCUUUAAGUAAAGUUAAAUCACCAUCAAGCUAGUAAAAAAUGAUUAGUGGAACACCCGGUUAGUUUUUCUCUGUUCUUUUUUCCGUCAACAUUUGAUUAAACUUGUUUGUAGAAAACUAAAGGUGAAACAAGUGGCUGAAAAAACGAAGUUUAAUUUUCAUGAGAGUGAAAAGUCUUGUCUUUGAUAAAGUAACAUUUAGCUACAAGAUGAAGAAGAAAGGUGAUUAAUUUAGGAUAAGACUGAUUAGUAUAGAUAAAGCUAAAAGAGUGACCUAGAGCAGACAUUGUAUCGCUUUCAUUGCUUUGAAUCUGAUUGGCAAUAUGGCCACUUUUAAACUUGUCGAUUAGAUUAUGAAUUAUGACCUGUGUCCUAAUCACUAUCAGCCUCUGAUCAGACGUACAUAAUUAUGACUUUGGUAUCGAUCCUUGAUCCGCUUGCUGCUGAUUAAAACAUUUUAUCAACCUGAAUGAAGUCACCAUCUUAACAGUCUAUUUUCAAAGUGCCUAUACUCUUCUAGUUAGAUCUUCGCCUUAUAUCGGUCACACUGUAUAUUUGUGUGUGUGUGUGUGUGUUUUUUUCACAAUUAGUAUCGUUUAACCUCUUUUGUCGAUGAUCCUGCCAACUUUAAUUUUCUUGUACUUGCUAACAGAAAAUUUUCAGUUGCAUCUCCUUUUAAGCAUAUGCAUGUUAAGAUAUAAUACAAUUAGAAUUUACUAUUCUCGUUGUUUUUCCUGCUUAAUAUGCUGCCUUAUACAAGUUCCUACUAUGACGGUUGGCAAUCCAGAUAGUUUGCCUAUAUCUUUGAUAAAUUACGUGCAAGUUAUGCCAUGGUUUCUUACCUGAACUCAAUAUAUUGGUUAUGAACUUAUUGUAAUUCCUCAUAGUGUGUGGUUUCUGCAGAUGUUGAAGUCCCGGUUGCUUGUGUCAUACUCAUAUUUCUGUUUGCCCUUCAACAUUACGGGACCCACAGAGUAGGGUUCUUGUUUGCACCAAUUGUGAUCACAUGGCUUUUGUGCAUCAGUUCCAUUGGUGUAUACAACAUCUUCCAUUGGAAUCCCCAUGUUUAUCAAGCACUCUCUCCAUACUACAUGUACAAAUUUUUGAAGAAGACCCGAAAGGGAGGUUGGAUGUCCUUGGGCGGUAUACUAUUGUGUAUGACAGGUACGAGAGUCUGUAUAGUGAACUUUCUUUUCAUGGAUGCUUAGUUUACCUUCUCUGACAUUAUCUUGUUUAUCUUUUGAAGGCUCGGAAGCUAUGUUUGCUGAUCUCGGACACUUUUCACAGACGUCAAUCAAGGUUUCCAGACUGAAUGGACUAUAUUUGGUUAAUUAGAGAUUUUCCAUUGUAUUAAGUAGCCCGUUGCAUUUUAUGUUGCAGAUUGCUUUCACCUUUGUGGUUUACCCGUCACUGAUUCUAGCAUAUAUGGGACAAGCUGCAUACCUUUCUAGGCAUCAUAUCGUAGCAAGUGAUUAUCGGAUUGGCUUCUAUGAAUCAGUUCCUGGUAUGUGUCUACCAAACUUGCAGCAGUUAUAACUUGUAAACUGUACGACUGAGCUAAUUAGAAUUCUCUCCUUUUCUCAGAGAAAAUAAGAUGGCCGGUUUUGGCAAUAGCCAUACUUGCUGCGGUGGUGGGAAGUCAAGCCAUUAUAACUGGAACUUUCUCGAUAAUCAAACAAUGUUCUGCUUUGGGUUGCUUUCCAAGGGUCAAAAUUAUCCACACGUCUUCGAAAAUACAUGGUCAAAUUUACAUCCCCGAGAUUAACUGGACUUUGAUGUUGCUAUGCUUGGCUGUUACCAUUGGUUUUAGAGACACAAAAUCCAUGGGAAAUGCAUCAGGUACCAUCCACAUCAACCUUAACUUUUUGGUGCGUGCGUGUGCGUGUGCGUGUUAGCUUUUGUAUAAUGUAUUUCUGUCUUACCUUCAUAUAGGUUUGGCCGUCAUAACUGUCAUGCUGGUAACUACCUGCCUUAUGUCUCUAGUCAUAGUCUUGUGCUGGCACAAAAGCCUCUUCUGGGCAGUUUGCUUUAUAUUAUUCUUCGGCUCCCUUGAGGCACUCUACUUCUCAGCAUCGCUCAUAAAGUUUCGUGAAGGGGCUUGGGUCCCGGUUGCUCUUUCAUUCAUCUUCUUAAUGGUUAUGUAUGUUUGGCAAUACGGCACCAUCAAGAAGUACGAGUUUGAUGUCCAAAAUAAAGUCUCCAUCAACUGGCUCCUCAGUUUAGGUCCUACUCUAGGGAUUGUUCGAGUCCGGGGAAUUGGCCUUAUACACACUGAGCUUGUCUCUGGGAUCCCGGCUAUUUUCUCUCACUUUGUUACCAACCUCCCUGCUUUCCACCAGGUUGUAGUUUUCCUCUGCAUCAAAUCCGUCCCAGUCCCACAUGUCAGACCCGAGGAAAGAUUCUUAGUGGGAAGAGUUGGUCCAAAGGAAUACCGGCUAUAUAGAUGCAUAGCACGCUAUGGUUACCGUGAUGUUCACAAGGAUGACAUGGAAUUCGAAAGAGAUCUAGUUUGCAGUAUUGCAGAGUUCAUUCGGUCAGAGAGACCAGAAUGCAAUCUCAGUCCAGAACAACUGGAAGACGAUGAGAAAAUGACAGUUGUUGGAACUUCAUCAUCAAACUUAGAUGGCAUAAGAAUGUCUGUAGACGAGGCAGAUUUUUCCGAAAUAGCAAGCACCUCGGAGUUGCAGGAGAUAAGACCUACAGAAAGGGCAAAGAAGAGAGUGAGGUUUGUCGUUCCAGAAACCCCACGAAUCGAUAGGGAAGCAGUAGAGGAGCUGCAGGAACUGAUGGAAGCAAGGGAGGCAGGAAUGGCAUUUAUAUUAGGCCACUCGUACGUGAAGGCGAAGAGAGGUUCAAGUUUUAUGAAGAAAAUAGUGAUCAAUUUCGGGUACGAUUUCUUGAGGAGGAAUUUUCGAGGGCCGAGUUAUGCUUUGAGCAUUCCUCAUGCUUCUACUCUAGAGGUUGGGAUGGUCUACCACGUAUAAUUCUGCGUAUACGGUACAACUUGUACUCAAAUGUACUCUACAUCAUGGCAUUUUAUGCUGCCCCUUACACUGUAAAAACUUGUAGAGCCGUUGGGCAAUGCAGAGUGCUUCUGAUGGUGCUGAGCAUGCUUCCUCGGUAAAUAUAUGCCAACGUCAAUAAGAGAGUUGGGCCAAGUUUUGAGCUUGUUAUUUGGGUUCAGUUUGUAAAGCUUUUAGCACAUUAUUCUUGAUCAAAUCAUCAUUUUUUUUUAUUCGGGUGAUAUUCUGAUAUAAUUUAAACUGGUAAGGAGGACGAGUCAUGAUUGUUGAAAGCCCUACUCCAAAAGAAACCUCGGGAGGACACGAGAGAGACUUAUCUAUACCGAUAUGCCAUAGGUGAUAUUUAAGGUCAAUUUAUAUUGUCAUCGUGUUUUAAUUUAUUCACAUAAUAAUAUGCGAUUGAAUUUAGGUUACCGUUAUAGUGACAUUCCGUUUCUCUUGCAGGGAUGCUUUUGUUGACCAUUGAAAGAAAAACAAAGAUUCAAAGAGGAUUAAAAACAUUCCUAAGGCCACGAGAGACCCCUUUUGUUUGUUAGCAUAUUACCAAUGAGAUCUAAUAAGCACGUGAUGAGAGGUGAUGAGGGUUUAAGAAACAAAAAAGACAACAAUAAACAAAGGUGGUGCUCUUUCAAUUCAUUCGAUUAGACAUCGACAAAAAUAAACAAACGUGAUGAGAGGUGAUGCGUGGAACGAAAAAAUAAGUAUGUAAAUAGCACUAUUCUAAACAAAAACAACAAAUAUAGAACAAAUAAUUGAAGUAACUUGGAGAGUUGUAAAUUGAUUUUAUUGUACAAGUGUCGUCACUCUUUGUUUGUAAUUUACAGGCCUACAGCCUACAAGUCUGAAGACUGACGUCACAGUUUUUAUGGACAAUUUCUGUGAAUGCUCCAAAACUGCACAACAUCAUCUGACGAUGCUGUGCUUUGCCAGAUUUAGAAAGGAGUAUGAACAACCACACCCUUAUAACGAAAUGAUGCCAUUGCCCCUGGAUGUCAGAGCACGAUAUAAUGUCACGUGAAAAAGUUCAAACACAUAAUAAUACUGAAUUGACUUGAGAUACUAUCGUAUAAACUUUUUUGUUGUAAGGCUGUCUGAACGAAGUAAUUAGCACCCACUGUAAUUAAUUAACGAUGGUUUGGUAAACACAAAUUUAAAACCCAAAAAAUGUAAAAACAGAGGAUAUGAUUCCCUCCUCUUGGUUUUAUUUCACAGCAGUGAGAUCUCUCUCCCCUUAACCUUUUCUUUUCCUUAACAUUGUGGUACCGUUUGGUACGUGGGAUGGGACGGGAUGGAACGGGACGAGCCGUUCCGUCCCAUAUUUGGUGCCCCUAAAAACUGUGGAACGGGUUGUCCUAUGGGAUGAAAUUUAGCUGAUUUUUCGUUCCACCUCUUUUCCCUGGAACGACCCGUUCCACAUCUGUGGAACAAAAAUUUAUAACAUUUUAUUACAAAAUUUCUCCUUAUCUUUUUCAAUAUUUACAUCAUCCGUUCCAUCCUGUUCCGUCCCGUCCCGUCCUGUUUCAUCCCGUCCUGUCCCGUUCUGUCCCGUCUGCGUACCAAACGGUAGCAAAGAGCUUUAUUGAGUUCACUGUUCAGUACUACCAAACCUUCCAAAUUCUCUAUACCCUGUUUGUCUCUUUCACCGUCUCUCUCUCUCCCCUCUUUUUAUCUCUCUAGAAAGAUUCACUCUCACUGAUUAAUUUGUAGAAAAAGUGACGGAACACUGUCUGUGGAGUCUCCUACUUAAGUGGAUUUCCUACAAGCUCAGACCUUUCAAAUCUUCAGGUGUGAGUGAGUGAGCAUUCUUCUGCUCUUAGAUGCUCAGCUCUGAUCAUCCAAAAUAGCAUCAAUGGUGAGGAAUUGGGUUGCAUUGCUUCUGGUUUUUCUGCUUCUCUCUGGGGAUUUCUCUUCAGGAGCAUCUGCCACACCUCCUGCAAGUGAGUAAAGUUUCCGUCUUUAUACCCCCACUCUGCUUCAAAUUCCUCAUUUGCUUCAGUUGGUAAUCUUGUGAUUUCACAUAUAUGUAUAUGCGUAUGUAUAUACAGAAAUUGUAACUGGGGUUGUCUCCAAUGUGGUUUCUGCUCUUGUCAAAUGGCUCUGGUCGCUGAAAUCCACCACAAAAACCAGUUCAGGUAUUUCUGCGAACUCACAUUUACCAAUUUUUAAGCAUGUUUGCAAUUAGAGUGUUAUUUUUGUUGUUAAUGUGGUAAUUAGAGAAUGUUCUUUGCAAUGGUGAGGUUUAUGAGGUUAAUGGGGUUCAAUUUUUCAGCUGUUUCUAGCCGUUCGAUGAUCAAAUUUGAAGGUGGAUAUACCGUGGAUACGGUGUUCGAUGGAAGUAAGCUUGGAAUUGAACCACAUUCAGUUGAAUUAUCCCCAAAUGGAGAGCUUCUGGUUUUGGAUUCCGAAAAUAGUAACAUCUACAAGAUCUCAAUGCCAUUGUCUCGUUGUAAGCCGCUUUCGCUGCCUUAACUCUUGAAUUGUACCAUUAUAUCACUGCUCUAGUUGCUUGUUUUACUAAUGUAUAUCCAAGGACCCAGUUAGGGAGAUUCGAACUCUUGUGCAUAGGCAAUGUGGCUAGUAAGGCUACACCCACGUCAGUUUAACCCGAAUAGUUAAUUUUCUAUUCGGGUUGAUGUGCAAGACAUUAUAAUUGUACUUAAAGCAUUGUUUUUCUGAUUCCUUACUUCAACUCUUGCCAAAUUUCAUUAUUUAUGAAAAGUACUGUUACUGCUUUUAUAUGCUUUUGUUUAGUGGAAGCCUGUACUUUCUGGUUAAUCAAUUGCUAUCUUUUUGGAGACUUACUUUACUUUUCUUUUGGUUUGCGACCACGAUUCUCUAAUGACCAGUUAACCUUCUUGUUUACUCAUGUUAAUUUUUUUUUUAACCUAAGCUAGAUUUGUGUACUUUAACACAGGAAACUUGGGUUCGUUGAAUUUCAUCUUGAUUAAUACCUUUAAGCUUGUUCAAGAUAAAAUCUUUAUCAUUUAUCGGUUAAUGAUUCGUCAUGCCACUUUUUCUUUUGUAAUUUCAUCUUUAUUUGCAUUUGUUAGUAUAAUCAGUCAUUAAAACUAUAAAAAAUAAUAUCAAUGAAAUAUGCAAUCUACAGUCUUCAAAUUAUCACUUUCGUUGUAGAAGUAAUUUCAGUUCAGUUCCUAGUUUAAUGCUUGUUUGCUAUCUGUUUGUAUUUUGGUAGAACCUAUCGUAUUCUUUUACAUGCCGAAUGAACGAUAUGCAGAUAGCCGACCCAAGUUGAUUUCUGGAUCACCUGAGGGAUACUCAGGGCAUGUGGACGGGAGGCCAAGAGAUGCAAGAAUGAACCACCCAAAAGGGCUGACUGUGGAUGAUAGAGGAAAUAUUUAUAUCGCAGACACAAUGAAUAUGGCUAUCAGGAAGAUAACUGAUGCCGGUAAGUCUCUGGAUGUUUAAGGCAUCAUAGUGGUUAAGGAAUCACCCUUUUCUUCUGUAAUUCUUGUGUUAAACGUAAUGGCACGAAAAACUUAUUUCACCUCUGUAUAGGGGUUACGACUAUUGCUGGUGGAAAAUGGGGCAGAGGAGGUGGUCAUGUUGAUGGUCCAAGUGAAGAUGCAAAGUUUUCUAGUGAUUUUGAUGUGAUAUACGUCGGUAGCAGCUGCUCUCUUUUGGUUAUUGACAGAGGAAACCAGGCAAUUCGGGAGAUCCAACUCCACUAUGAUGACUGUAACGACCACUAUGAUGGAACUUUCGGUUUAGGUAUAACUAGAAAAGUAUGGACUUUCAACAGUGUAAUUUGCUUUAGGUGAUGCAGCUCUUUAAAAUCUGUUCUCGAUCGUUGCAGGAAUAGCAAUGCUGAUUGCAGCUGCAUUCUUUGGCUACAUGCUGGCACUGCUGCAGCGUAGGGUGCAAGCAAUGUUUUCGUCAAAUGAUACAAGUUACUUACAGGAUCAAAGAACUAUACAUAGGGCUGCAACAGUGGCACCAUAUCAGAGGCCUCCUAAAUCCGUCAGGCCCCCUUUAAUUCCAAAUGAAGAUGAACCUGAGAAACUAGAUGACGGCUUCUUUGGUUCACUAGGGAAGAUCGUCCUCAACACUGGCUUGUCUGUGUCUGAAAUCUUUGGGGGAAUAUUUACGGGCUUUAGAAGUAAGCCCCGACAAUAUCACAUUCAGCAGCAGUAUCACCAAGCUAAUAAGCAUUCAAAUGCUUGGCCCACGCAAGACAGCUAUGUGGUUCCAGACGAAGACGAGCCUCCAUCAUUAGAAACGAGAUCCUCAACCCCAAAUAAAACCUACCCAUACAUGACCAAAGACCUGGAGAAGCCUCGCCAUUCGAAGCAAAGUCAAGCUUACUAUAAUUCAUGGGAGGGCGAAUAUCAGCAACAGCAACAACUUCUGACACAGCUGCAGCAGCAGCAACAACUUCAGACGCAGCUGCAGCAGCAACAACAACUUCAGAUGCAGCUGCAGCAGCAGCAUCAUCACAGGCAUUACUCAACAAACCCGACUACAUACUACGAGGAGAGCAGCGAGACAAACGAGAUUGUGUUUGGGGCAGUCCAAGAACAGGAUGGACGGCGUGAAGCUGUGGUGAUAAAGGCAGUAGACUAUGGAGAUUCUAGAUAUAACCACCACAACAUUCGACAGCGUUUCAAUUAUAUGGAUUAUAAUUCCUCUGGUUACUGAUUCCCAUCAAAAGAACACAAGAAUUUCAUCCUUUAUGUUAUAUUUCUUAUUUUCUCGUGGAAAUGUUAGCUUUCCGAGAGUUGUUUCUCAAGGAAAUGUGAAAGUUUUAUACCUCAGCUUAGGUCUGCAUUUUCCUUUGUCUAGAGAUCCAAAGAAUCAAAGCCAGUGCCGGUUUGCAGAUGUAGACUUAGGGCUGGUUUGAUAUUGCUGUGCUUUGAAAAAAAGCUGCUGUGAGAAUAAGCGGCUGUGCUGUGAGAAUAAGCGGCUGUGAAAUAAAGCCAGUAGAGUGUUUGGUAAACUUUUUUGUGAAAGUGCUUUUGGAAAAAAAAGCAAGAUGAUAGUGUGUCUUUUCAUUAAAGGAGCACUGUAGCUCCGUGUGCUUUGAAAAAACUGGCUUUUUUUCAAAGCAGCAAAUAGCAGCUUCAGCUUUUCCUUUGAUUUUCAGCUUAUUCUCACAGCAGCUUCCAAAAUAAGCCCUUUUUUUUCAGUUUACCAAACACAAAAAUGAGCCUCAGCUUUUUUUCACAGUGGCUUUUUUUAAAAUCACCUUAAUCCCAAACGGGGCCUUAGUCAUAUUGGCUAGAUCGGAUGUGCUUUUCAGUAACGGAUCUUGAACUAUAGCUAACAAGCAGGCCCAUGAAAUAUAAUUCUCAGCUACCAUAUGGCUUAUCAUGUAUUAAGUUCCAAUGGUUUAGAUUAAUAGUUUCAACUUAUUAAAACCAAAAUACAAUCCAAACAUGUAAAUUCGAAAUAUAUAGCUUUAGUAUUAGAAUAUUGAGCAAAUUAAAAAAUGAUACUUUUAUACACAAUUGUAUAAAUUUGACUACCUAAACUAGGAAAUUCAAACAGUGUAAUUUCUUAUUUUCUGACUACCACGUGCAAUAUCGUAAUAACACGAGCUGUUUCUUUGAACCCUAAACACUGACAUAUGGAGCUUGGAGCUAGCACCACUUCAUUUGUGUGCAUGGAAUAUUAAUGGCCGACGCCGGGGCUUGGACCAGAACUCUUGACUCCCCAGAGGGAAAGAACAUCAGAAAAAUAGUUAACAACGCCGCCUCCGCUCGGACUGGCGGCCUUCCUUGGAUUGUGGUGCUCCCGGUGGCUGUGGGGGUGACGAUGAACCUGGUGAUGAACAUGAGAACCAUGCUCGUGAAGAGGACGGGCUUCCACGGCGGCAAAGAGCAAAACAAAGCUCACCACAAGUAGGGCAACAACGAAACGUUGGCGUGUGAUGAUUUCUCUGGCCAUGAUUACUGGAGAAUAUUGGAGUCACUGGGUUCUAAUGAGUCGAAUGAUUUUGCUUGGAGUUAUAAAAUUGUGUAAAGUAGGGUUUGGUAUUUAUAGAGAGAGAAAUACGGUAAGCUUGUUUUGUUUGACUAAAAAACGGAGGAAUGUAAUAUAGUUUGAAUUUUAGUGCCCGUUCAAACGCGUCUGAGAACUGGUUUCAUGAGAGGAAGCAUGAACAAAAUUGAAACCCUAAUGGAGAAAGAUUCAAAGUUUGAAGAGGAAAUUAAAUUGAAAAAUAGGACUGAAUAACUAGCUGGAUGUAGUAUAAUUUGAAUACUUGUACCCAGUCAUUCAGUCGUUCAAGUUUAUCUAGGUUUGACCAAUAUUUUCUCUUAAGCAUCAUGGCCUAAAUUUGUUUGAAAUAUGUAUGCACACAGAAGAGUAUUUGAUUUAGUGCUAGUCAUGCAUGCAUGCGUUAAAUAUUUGACUUGUUACAGAUACAACUCUCACUAGUUAAUUAAUUUCGAGUAGAUAAUUAAUUAGUUUUAGUUAAGGACUAGUUAAGCACCGAACCUGGUAGCGUAGACUUGUAACUACGUAGAGUAUUAAAACGAUUGAUGGGUGAUGAAGCCUUGGUCAAGCGAGAUCAUGGUGUUUGAAAUUUAUUCACUAAUCUUGUAAAGUCACUUUAAGCACGCUCUAAGCCUCUCGCAUUAGUAGGCCAUCCUUACUAGCGGGGUAGCAAACAAGGGACUUAGUUAAACGCUCCAAUACGUCGUUGAUUAAUAUUAGGGUUCAUGCUGUAUAUAUGCGACUUCAUGUUCAUUCAAACAUGUUCUAUAUAAUCAUUACAUACAAGUAAAAAUCUAAAAAAAAAUUAAAACAUGUUUAUGAUCUUAUAUAUAGCAGUUGAUCUAUUCAGCAGGAAAAUGCAUACAUAGCGAGGUACAACUUUUUUAAAAAGAGCUGAUUUCCACACACAUUUUUUAGAUUUUUAUGCACCGUUCUUUAUUUUUGACCAUUAGAGUAAUUAAAUAAAACGAAAACAACUAAUAUGAUUAAACAUGAGUGUGUCUGUUAAAAAAAGACGUGUGUAUUUAGCAUUUCCGUUACGUAAACAACUCAAAAGGAUAAAAUUGGACUUUUAAAUUCUAUGCUGCCAAACAAGCUUUGAAUAUUUUGCUUUGAGUGUUUAUAAUUUUGCGUUUGAUUCGACUUAUAUCAAUAUAUCCAUCAAUUUACUUUGGCCAAACCAUAUGAAAUCAUGCACGACUAAAGUUUCAACAGUUGAAUUUUUUCAUCUAUAUCUUUUAAUUGAUGAAUUUCAAAAAAAUGUGUUUUUAUUCUGCCUGAAAUAAGGUGUUAUUGGUAAAGAAGAUUAAUAUAUAGGGACAAAAACCGCAUUAUAUUUUUCUAAGUAAACGACGUUGAUCCUACAAGUCAACAACUUGCUUCAUCUUCAAGGCAGGAAAAAAUAGGUGCUUACUUGUUGUUCAAGGAAAAAAAAACGACUAAAUGUGCAUUAUGCUCAGUCAAACCCAGCUAGCUAGCCUACUUCUUUUGACAAAAAAUUUAUAUAUAAAAAAUAAAUAAAUAAAUAAGGACCUAAAUGUACACGCAUAUUUCAUUUUUCAAGAUAGUACCCAAAAAUCUGAAAAGAAAGAAGACCAUGUUAGAAUCACUAAUAACUAUUGACUGUGUCUUACAACGUUAGUUCAUUCAUGCUUGUUUGAAAGUUAUUUUAAAAUAAUUAAAAAUGCUUUUAGAGAAAAUAUUUUUGAGUUCUAAAAGUACUUGAAAUGUUUCAUUAAGUGUUUUUUCAGGAUUCACUUGCAUUUUUACGAAUGAUUGGUUUCAAAAACAUUUUCAUCAAAAGUGCUUUUAAUCAUUUUAAAAGCACUUCUAAAUGAGUCCUCAAUUUCUUUUUUUUAUAAACAAUAACGUUAGUGAGUUAAAUUAUUAAUUGUUAGGGGGUAGGAGGAUCUAUGGGGAUCAAACCCGAACCAAAGUUCAUAAACAUAAUUGUUUUCUAGCACUCUAAUAAAGCGUCAUAUGCGAUUCAUUUUAUAGGUUUGGACAAGCCAAUCUGUUUAAUUAAACAAAUGAUAAUAAAAAAAUUCCCCCAUAAUUAACCCGGAAUUGAUAAUAUAAAUUAAACAUAUGAUUAAUCAGAAACAGUCAAUUCCCGCCAGUGACAGAUAGAAUUACGUAAACUACAACAUUUCCAAUAUUACCCUCAUCGCAUCCAGUUAUCAUUGACCUGGCUCCCGCGCCACAGCGGACCCUCUUUGGUAAACUCACCAAAUUCGACCGUUAAAACUUCGCUGGUUCUCCGAUUAACACCUGGCAGCCGGUUCCCGGUGAAAUACAUUUCACCUCCAGCGAGAAUUCCGUUACAAAUCGACCUAUAUUUGUCUCCCUCAAACUCCUCGCUCCCGGAUCAGAAAAUCCAGAGAGCAAUCGAUCGAGAGAGGGCGUUAGGGUUUGCAGAAAGAGAGAGAUUUAGGGAUUUUACCCAAAUCGAAAAUCCUUAAAUCUUUCUCCUUCUCCGCCCAAUUUUCCCUCUGAUUUCCGAGCCCUAAUUUUCACCUAAUUUUCCCAAUUUUCGGUUUUGAAUGGCAUCAAAAAUAGCGUACGAUGCCGUUCCGAAUCCGAAAACGGACUCCGCCGCGGAAUCCGAUGACGGUGAGGAAUUGAUGCUCGCGAGGAGAAGCGGGUGCUGUUUCUGGAUCCCUUGCUUUGGAUCCGAACCCUCCUCUCCCGACGGGUCGUGGGAGCGGAUCCGUUCCACCGGCGACUACGAGGGUCUGUGGUGGAACCGCGGCUGGAAGAAGAUCCGGGAGUGGUCGGAGCUCCUCGCGGGUCCCAAGUGGAAGACCUUCAUCCGGCGGUUCAACAAAAACAACCCCAGGCGGUCCGUGAAAUUCCAAUACGACCCCAUGAGUUACGCCCUCAACUUCGACGAAGGACCGGGGCAGAACGGUAAUUUGAGUGAUGAUUAUUUGUACAAGGAUUUCUCGUGCCGGUACGCGUCAAUUCCGGCGUCGGCCAAGUCGUCGAUGGAUUUGAGUAACGACUCACCCUCCUUGACGUGAGAGUCACGUGAUGAGCGGAUGUAGAGAGGGUGUGAAAGAAAGCAGAGGAAAUUGAUGGUGGGUGUUCGGUGCGCUGCGCGCUGGGUUGUGCGGGAGAGUUGACGGCGGAGGAGAAUAGAGGAGCGCGGCGGCGUUUGAUUAUUUUGCUAUUUAGGAAGCCGUGACUGUUGGUUAAAUUGGAAAAUGUACGAUCAGAUUUUUUUCAUUGUUUCAUUUGUUCAUUUAAUUAAUAAAUGGCAGGUCCUUCAUGAAAUAUUGAUUCCCGACUAAAAUUUAUAUAUUAGAGUCUCUGGUUGGAAGUGUGUAUGUUGGUUCGGAAAGUUCUUCAAUGCUUGUGCUACUACACAAAAACUUGCAUGCAACUGAGACGUCGUGAUGUCGGUCUCCAAGCUUACCGACAUCAUGGGCAUUAACUUGACAUUUCUGUUGUAUGUAAGUUGUUUUUGUGGUACUGACUUGAUUGUUGUCUUUUAUGCCUCAUUUGGUUUCUAAGAUUGAAGUAGAACAGAUAACUCAUAAGAUUCAAGGAUAAUAAAAGUAAAGGUAAAUGGUCACUUAGUACUAAGGUUUAGUCGUAUUUUUCUUCACUUGUCGCCAAAGGCGAAUUCGAACCACAUUAUUACUAGCCUAUUGUGAAGCUUAACUCAUUCACCCACCACUUUAGUGUAGAUAAUAUCGUUUAUUAAAAAAAAAAAGGGGACCACAUGGUGGCUUUGCCACGCCAGUCCACUCUUCCAGGUGCUAGGAAGACUCAUAGAGGCAUUUCAACAUCCUCUGACUACCAUCGUAUGAUUCAUUAGCGCCAUAAAUCGAACUCAAAACGUGCCGUAUAGAAUACAGACCUAGAAUUUGUUCCCAACUAGAUCUUGAGAGGAUUAGACAUGCAAACAAUUAUUCAUAUAAUCAUCGUAUUUUGAAGGGGAUUUGGAAUAAUAGCUCUAACUUUCUUUAAUAAGUACAUCUUCUACCUUUAAGUUUUGAAUACUUUCGAUAUUAUCUACACUAAGGGUGGCCAAGUUGGCUAAGUUUCAUAAUAGGCUAGCUAUAAUAAUUUGGUUCGAAGUCAUCUUUGACGAAAAUUGAACUUAAAACUUCUUAUUUACAAAUAAAGAAGAAUACCACUAGACCUCUUCUACCUUUAAAUUGACCACAAUUACUUUAUUUCUACCUUCGAUGUACCUUAAAUAUGUCGGGUUAUCCACCUUAUCUAAUCCUAAUGGGGAAACGAGAGUUUAGACUUUUACUAGGGAUUUGCUUUGCGUGCUUGUGUGUGGUGUUUUGACAAGGAAGGCAUCCACAAAGCCACGAGCACGGGCAAGUUGCUUAUCUCUUCUUUCCGCGUGUCAUCCCUAUCUCCAUCAUCACCACUUUUCUUAUCUUCCUUUCCAUCAUUAUAUUUUCUCUCUUUCUCCAAGCACCAAACCAGUAUUAUUAUCUUUUGUCAACGAGUAAAUUGUAACUAUGGUCCCUUAACUUUAACUCAAUUUGAGCAAUUGUCUCUCAACUAAAAAUCCAUUACCAUUGGUCUCUCAACUCAUCAAAACGUGCAGCUAUUGUCCCUUAACUAAAAAUCCAUUACCAUUGGUCCCUCAACUUUAAUUAAACUGGAGAAAUUGUCCCUUAACUUUAACCCAAUUGUAGCAAUGUUCUUUUCAACAUAACUCGUUUUGACAAAUUUUUUGAUGUAGUUGACGAAAAUGACCAUAAUUACACACUUUGAUGAGUUAAGGGACCCUAAUUAUAUCAAUGGUUAUUCCAACAUAACUUAUUUUGACAAAAUUUUGACGAAAUUGAUGAAAAUGACUAUAGCUACACAUUUUGAUAAGUUGAGGGACCAAUGGUAAUAGAUUUUUAGUUGAGAGGCCAUUGCUCCAAUUUGAUUAAAGUUAAGGGAUCAUUGCUACAAUUUACCCUUUGUCAACAUUCAUUCAGAGUCGAGUGAUGAGUAGUAUAGUGAGAUGAAGAUAUACUUCCGGUUGGUGAAGACAAACUUCUGAUUAUCUCAUGUGAUGGUCCUUGAUCAGAUGACUGAGAUACCGGCAAAUCAACUUAGCUCGACAUUUUUACAAACAUCGACCCUUACUCAAUUGGGCACCGAAACGCUAUUGGUUAUCAAGAUUGCUCAAUUGAUCAUUUAGAAUUUGACUACCUUAGUUUUCCACAAAACGCUUUCAGCUCUCCUAAAAACACCGUCAAACGAGCACUAAUUAACUUGUACCAUACAAUUGUACAAGGGGCAAGUCACAAAUGUAUAUCGAUUUUCAACGCACGAACUUAGCUAUAGCGUAUGUACAAGGGACAAAUCCCUAAUCUAUCUUAUCUUGCGAUCUUCGUUGCGCGGACAUCUCUAUUGUACUUAUCAAGGGGAAUAUGUGGACCCAAAAAUACAUAAAAGAGGCGUCUUCACACUUUUAUUUAUUCGUUGGUGCAUUGGUGACAGUGUGAUCCUUUUGACCCACAAAAAAAAUCUGCAUAUUCCAAUUUAAUCCCAAAGUAAACACAUAAAGUAGUACCAUUCAAAUUUGUUUCUUGAAACUACCAAAUAACCAACCAGUGGUUGGUGAUGAACUUUAUGUUUGAAUUUUACAGAAUGCAUUUUGAAUUCAAUUAUUGACGUGUGUGAAUUACACGAUAAUCAUCAGAGAAGGACAAAAUGCUUCUAGGUACCUUUUCGACUUCUGAAAAAGUAAACUACUGAUCUUUAAAAAAACACAAAAUCUAUUUUUUGGUACAGCCUCUUUAAUUUUUUUUUUUUUUUUGUAACAAUAUUCUUAGUAGUUAGGAGUCAGUUCAGUUGACAACUCUUCUCCCAAAACAAAAUCACCGUUUAUAGUUAAUUAUUAUUAUUAUUUUUUUAUAUCUUGUUUGAGUUAGUACAAAAUACAAUGUGGAAACCUCAACUUUUUUGCUUGUUAUUUUAGCACAAAUUUUUGAAAAUUAUGAGGGGAAUUUUGAUUUCAACAUGGCCACAUGGGAAUGGACAAGGAUUGUCUUCCCUCCACUUCCGGUGUCCUCUUCGUGCCCUCUUGUUUUGUGUGAUCAUGGUUAAGUCAUGUUAAUAUUUUAUAUUAUUUUUUUUAUAGAUAUAAUAAGUAAAAAAUAAAUAAUAAUAUAAAAUAUUAACAUAACUUAACUGUGAUCACACAAACAAAAUGACACGAGAAAGACACCAAAGUGGAGGGCAAACAAUCAUGGGAAUGGCAAAAAAGUGAGACCCUACUACACCCAAUUUUUGAAUAAAAGGGUAUCAUUUCCCAAGAAGCAAAAGAUUCUGUCAGUCUGUCACACAGCUUUCAUGGAUCCCCACUUUCUGCACUCUUCAGCUUCCCUGCCCCUUACUAUCAUUCAAUCCGGAGAUUAGGAAAAACAUGAAGAAAUGCAUGAGAAAAAAAAUGCGGGAGUGAAAAUCCGGGAAAUGAUCAUCUCCGGAUUUCUUCUUUCUAAUUCAUUAAAUUAAGAAAUUUGUACUAUUGAAAAUUGAUUCAACGAAUGAAGUUAUUAUAAAUUUUAAAAUGCAUCUCUGUAUGUAACCGUUUGAUCAAAUUUCAAUGGUACGGAUUCCCUGAUUUGGUGAAUUAGGAGGAAGGGAUCCGAAGAGAAUCAUUUCCAAAAAUCACUACCCGACCAAUCAAAAAGCAAGAAAAGGAAAAUGCAUUUGAUUUGACCCCUAGCAAUAGAGAUAUUUUUCAAAUUCUAACUACUUGUACUAGUACACUUGGUAUAUCAAGUUGUGCCUGGCACUAGGGCUGGGCACGGGACGGGCCGGGCCCAAAUUUGGAGGGACCGGACCGGACCCAUAUGAAAACACAAUGGGGAGGGUCGGGGCGAGUAAUGGGAUUUCAAAUUUUGGAACCAGACCUAACUUGACCCGUUUGAAACGGGUCGAUUUGGGCCGGGUCCACGGGUCCUAGCACAGAAAGGAACGAACUGAAGCCUAAAGCUUGUGUUCCUCAGCAAAUAAAAGAAAACCAUACCAACGCGUAGAUCAAGAUCCAAAGUAUCAGAUAAAACAACAACACAUAGAUUCCAAACACAUCAUUCAACCAAAUUAAGCAUGGGUAAUCUAUGAAUUAUUGAAAAAAUGGGCUUAAGAUCUUCUCUGAGGAUAGGUUCUUCGUUGGGAUUGAAGAAAUGGGUGUGGACAGAGAUAGUAGUAGUAGGUGAAACAAGAACCUUGAGCGCUUCUUUGAGGAUAGGUUCUUUGUUAGGAUUGAAGAAAAACGCCUUAAUUCCAUUGCCUUUCCCCAAACGCAAUUUUCUACAGCUGCUGCUUCGGUGAUGUCGGUGGUUUAAUAAACCUAGGCAGGCCACUGUUACCCAAUUGUCAAUUACUCAUCAAAAUUGAUUAGCAGAUGAGUAAGAAUAGGAAAAAGAAAAGUUCAGGUCGUCAUAUUAUUUGCUCACCAGUGCACACGAAGAAGAUUCACAAUAAACAGAGACAUGUUGACCAACUUGAACUCCUGAUGCUGUCUUCUCGUGUUGAUGGUUCAUAAUUCUCGAUGCCGAUGGACUUAUCGUCAGCCAUGGCAGUCCAGUCUUGGAUCGUGGCGAUGAGGUCGUCGACUGAGUCAAGAGUCAUGUGUAACUGGGCGAGUCGGACCAGAUUGGGUGGUCAACAGCCGAGUUAAGCCUAUCGUCUUCUCCGAUCUGGAGCUUCUGUGAUGUUGACGCAGUCGAGGGGUGGGAGGGAGAAGAGAACAAGAACAGAGAAAAAAGUGGGGGAAAUCUGGGAGUGGGGGAAGAUGACUGAAAAGGUAAAGCAAUUGCUUUGUUAUGGUAGAACGGGUCGGUUCGGGGCCCCGACAUUCUCAAAUUCUGGAACUGCCCCGCCCCUGAAGAUACCCUUUCCCCGCCCCGCCCCGCCCCGUUUUGUCUCUACCAAAUUUGGCCCCGCCCCGAACCCGCCCCGAAUCAACAAUACCCGCCCCUACCCGCGGGUCCUGUACCCGUUUGCCCAGCCCUACCCGGCACAACGACUAAUUUCUCGUUGCCAUAGAUUGGCUCAUGAAAAUUGUCAAUUGAGACCUUUAAGGGCAAAGGUCAAAACCUUCAAUAGGAGAAUCGUUGCUUAAAAGUUAAAACCAGCAUUGAUUGGAUUGUUCUUUAUCUCAAAUUAUCUUUUGCCAAAUAAGGAUCUUGGAGAAAAACAUAUACAGAAGACAGAAAACAUGAAGUUCUAACUGCAAACAAUUUAGAGCUAAAUCCAUGGAUACCAUUACGAAUGAACUACAACAACAUUUGGUUUUCCAACCUACAUAACCUCCGCAACUUUGAAAUUGCGUUAAACACUUAAACAAAUGCGCGAAAGCGCAAUCCAUGUGACAAGAUUAACGCAAAUCUCCCACAACCUUGGCAUAGAACAUAUCUCAGCUGCCAGCAUUUUCAUUCCCUAACAUUAGAAAACCCCUUCUUCACAAGACAUUAUAUCUGGUUUUAAAAAAAGUACGCGAUAUGGUACGCGAUCAAUCAUCACAAGUACAGAAUUAGCAUUACAAAAAUUUUGGAAAGGCGAAACUAGACUUAAGGCGUAACACACUUUGAUCAUUGGAUUAAUAAGCAACCAUGGAAACUAUAAAGAAUAUACCUCUCAUUCUGGUUGCGUUCUAUUCAUCCAUGGCAAGUCUGUGUUAAGAGACGAAGGCAUGCCCAUCUGUGUAUCUGUCGAGCUUGAAAACUUGCCCUUCUUCGACCAGAGCCAGAUCUUGGAAACAGAAUAGCUUUCACCCUUAGUCACACUGCUGAUCUUCUUUCCCUCCAUGUCACUAUCAAUUGAAAGAUUACCAUUGUUUUCUAUCCCUCUUGUUGGCUUUACAUUGCGGCCUUGUUGAUCAUUUGAUAAGGGAACCCGAAGUUCUGAAUCAUUAAGCACAUACUGAUACGAACCCAUUGAAAAACAUCUUCUUGCAUCCAAUCUACUGCUACUACCCUCUCCUCCUCCCGUCUCCCCUACCUCAGCAUCUACCUUUCUAAAUUUGCCGAGUCUCACAGGCAAGAUCCCCUUAUCGACAACAAUUUCCUCAAUGUCCAUGGUUUUUUGCCUUGAAGCGAACCUGUUUUCUCCAUUACCAGGAUACCCUUCUUCUUCUCUAUAGUCAUCAAAAUCAAAAAUUGGGUUUUCAACCGAGUACUCGGGAUUAAAAAGGGUACUCCUACAAAGAGGACAUGUUGAAUUUGACAGUAGCCAAGUAUCUAUACAGUUGAUAUGGAAAGCAUGGUUACACGUAGGGAGCAAUCUGAGCUUGUCCUUCUCGGUAAACUCACAAAGGCAAACAGAACAAUCGAACGGCUCUUUCGCACCCACAAUAUCACGAUACUGGAAAACAGGAAGAGCGUCGAUAAAUGCUUGAUCUAGACCAGAAUCAUGAAGGUGGAAGAGCUGCUGCAGCUGUCUCUGAAGAACAUCAGCAGUAGACAUUUCUGGGUACCGAUUAGACUGAGAAGAAGCUGAGGAAGACGGGUGCUUAGUAAGGAAUCGAACGAGCAGGUGGAGCAAACCGGAGAUGAAAAACAGCACAGCCAGAAUCACUAUUAUAAAAAGCAAAGCAGGACUAAUUCUUGAACCGGAUGAUGACGGUGGUGAUGGAUUCGAGUUCGAUUCACUACGAAAAGUUCCAGCAUACGGGGGUGAAGAUUGAAGAGAAAAAGGAGGAGGGUAGCUCAAAUAACCAUCUUUAACCUGGAUUUGAUGCUGAACCCAAGACAUCUUCAAAUGAGUGUGCCCAGAAAACCAUCUAAGAUCUUUCCCCUCUGCCAUUCGAGGUAUCAUAUCGCUUUCUGAUACAAGUGAUAUUGGGGAGGGUGAAAUCAAACACCGGAGCUCGGGUGCAAGGGCGAAUGCUAUUAACCAACUACGCUACGAGCUCCUUCCAUGUUCAUACAUAUCAUUACAACCAAUGACCAUGCUCUUCUCUCUACUCAGAGAUCAAUCAAACACAAACCCAAUCAUUUUUCAUGGGAUUAACGCCAAAUUCAAUCACUUUUUGCAGUUCUUCUUCCAUCACCACCAGAUUUCCAUCCCCAACUUUUUUUUUGUUUUUCUGCAGAUAAAUACCAAUAUUUUUAUCUAACUUGUAUUGUCGGUAUGUAUGCUUUCAAUUUUCAUAACAAAUCGACUGAUAACGCAACAGAAUCUGACAAAAAUAAUGCGGAAUAAAAAAAUGGAGCAUACCUAACUUGAUUCUUCUGAGGAAUCCACCAUUUUCAUGUAAUUUUCAAAAGCUCUGCAGCAAAACGACGCUCUUUGCUGCCCUUCCAAGUUGCAGCAGAGAAGAAGAAACCCUAAAGACUCCGGCCUUUUGAUUCCGGUGGUAAGUGUACAGCGGAAAGAAGAGGAAAGUGAAGUUGGGUUUCUCUUUCUCUCUCCAAAAGUGUCACUUUCUCUCUCUAGAGUUCUUGAUUGAUGGAAGCAGAGAGCGCCAGAAGGGUGACAGUGGCGAGAGUUCCAAAAGUGCCAAAAAGGAAAACUAACGUUUAGCUCCCACGUGCUUAAGGGAGCGCGUGGGGAUUGUAGGGUCAACCGUAAGCGACAAAGUGCUUAACCCCGCAACCAUGGGCUUCGAGGUGGGCCUGGGCUUGAACUCAAAAUGGCUUGUCUGUAUUCCGGUGGAUUAGGGUGUAGGAUAACGAACCAGCCAACCAGGUUCUAGGGCACAUCCAAGUGGCUGAGUUUUGUAAAAAAUCAAAAUAUUUUGGUAGCAUUAGAGAUGUGACAGUGACACCCUACUCCAUUUUGAACCUAAUUAUGUGCGCCAUUUCUGGUGAUGGAUUUAGAAGUAAGUAGGUCAGUUGGUGAAGAUAAUUUUGUAUUUUUUUAAUAGAUGUUUUGUUAUUAAUAUGUUAUUGACACGUGAUCGCUAUUGUAUGAUGGUCCCGUCAUUUUUUUUCUUUGUUAUACAAAUGAUAUUUUGUUUUAAACUAAUCUAAAUUAAAGAGAGAGAAAUUUGAACUCGAGUAUAACUAGGAUUAAAAUUAAAAGGACGUGAGAGAAGUAAUUUGGGGUGUGUGAAUAUAAUCUCCCUAUUCUAUUUUAAACCAAUCUCAGUCUAGUGCUAUUGUCAUUUCAAUGUUAAAAGAGUUUAGAAGUGCGAUUCUUUUCUCCAUGUUGAUAAAGAAAACGUGAAGUGUAAGUUAUGAGUGCAACUUUACAUUCAGCUAAUCUGUUACAAUUUUUCAACAUUUUAGGUUAAUGAUAUUACGUGCAUGAUGGUUAAUUGGGUGUGCCUUUAAAGCAUAAAGUUGUGAAUGCAUACGUUAUCUUAAGUUUAAAGGCAAUUAGGUAAUUAGGUGAGGGUUUUGG